UUCGCAAUGCCCGAAAGGGUGACGAAGCGACGCCGCGUGGGUGAGGAAGGCCUUCGGGUUGUAAAGCCCUGUCAGGAGUUAAGAAAUGUAGACUCGCUAAUAUCGGGUCUAUUUGACAAAGGCUCCAAAGGAAGCCACGGCUAACUCUGUGCCAGCAGCCGCGGUAAUACAGAGGUGGCAAGCGUUGUUCGGAAUUAUUGGGCGUAAAGAGCACGUAGGUGGAUUUGUAAGUCAGACGUGAAAGCCUUCUGUUCAACGGAAGAAUUGCAUCUGAAACUACAAACCUUGAGUGUAGGAGGGGAGAAUGGAACUUCUGGUGGAGCGGUGAAAUGCGUAGAUAUCAGAAGGAACACCGGCGGCGAAGGCGACUCUCUGGCCCGUAACUGACGCUGAGUGUGCGAAAGCUAGGGGAGCAAACGGGAUUAGAUACCCCGGUAGUCCUAGCCGUAAACGAUGGGCACUAAGUAGAGGGGUUUU
rnacentral:rRNA from 1 species